rnacentral:lncRNA from 1 species
AAGUUCAAGAAUAGCUUCAGCAACUUACUGAGACCCAGUCUCAGAAGAAAAAGCAAACAAGACUGGAAUGUAGCUCAGUGGUAGAGUACCCCUGGGUUCAAUCCCCAGUACCAAAAAAACAAAUACAAUAUUAAAUUAUAUAAGCAAUGCUGAAUACAGUUUCAUAGUUGAAAAGCCAAAUGGUUUAGAAAUAUAGAAUAAAAAGUUAAUGAUCCUCUUCCUCCCACCCCACAUCCAAAAGCCUAUCCUCCAAGUAGGCACUAUUAAUUAUUUGGUGGAAACAUUCAGACUUUUUGCUUUGCACUUACACAUAUGUGAGUCUGAGAUAAUAUUUGUGGAAUUGAUCUUUUUUCAUCCCUGAAUUUUCCCCUUUCUUGUCCUCACAUUCAUGGAGCUCAUCACUUCUGAACCUCUCUCCAGGUUAGAAAUCCAAAUCAGCUUUCAAGUAUCUCUGGCUUUUGUGUGCUGAAAGCUUAAGCAUUCUUUAGAGCAACCUCAAGAUUUUCUGAACAGCUUAUCAAAGGACAAGGGCUCUCUUGCAGAGAUUGAAUGCCUUGACUAGAAACAAGAUGGAAGAAUAAUUUGCUUUGGAGUAGAAAGACCUCCAACCCUUGUAAGCCCUCCCUUCUCCAGUCUGACUAAGGGCAGGAGACACAAGAGGAGAAAUGUCCCACCUUGUUUUCUACCUGUUCGCCUAGACAGGCAGUAAAAUCCCAAAGAGAGUUGACGUCAUGGUGAAGGCAGGACACAAGGUCACUGGCAACUUGAUCCAUGGUUCCUAAUUGCUCUGAAGAGGCACAUAGCAGCAGGGACUGCCAUACCUGGCCUCAGCCAGCCUCACCUUCACCUUUUCUAGUUUGUGCCUGGCUCUUCCAGCGUUCAGGAGAAUUUAGACACAUCUGACAUCAAGUCUCCUAUUGUCAGGACUGAAGCUUCCCAUAAGCAGUGAAUUGAGUUACAGGCACUAAAAUGUGAUUUCUUGCAUGCCUAAGUUUGUAAAUUAAGAUUCAGGUGUCAUGUACUGUUCAUAUUCUGCCACUUAA